UACGUAGGGCGCAAGCGUUGUCCGGAAUUAUUGGGCGUAAAGAGCUCGUAGGCGGCUUGUCACGUCGGGUGUGAAAGCUCGGGGCUUAACCCCGGGUCUGCAUUCGAUACGGGCUGGCUGGAGUGUGGUAGGGGAGAUCGGAAUUCCUGAUGUAGCGGUGAAAUGCGCAGAUAUCAGGAGGAACACCGGUGGCGAAGGCGGAUCUCUGGGCCAUUACUGACGCUGAGGAGCGAAAGCGUGGGGAGCGAACAGG
rnacentral:rRNA from 1 species